UGCCCACUGAGAUUUUGAAGGGCCGCGGUAUCUUGACCGUGCAAAGGUAGCAUAAUCAGUAGUCUUUUAAUUGGAGGCUUGAAUGAAUGGUCGGACGAGGGGAUAGCUGUCUCGRUGRUUGAGAUUGAAUUUAACUUUUGUGUGAGAAGGCAUUAAUAGAUUAGGGGGACGAUAAGACCCUAUAAAACUUGAUUAAAUCUGUUUUAGUUAAUGGUUUAGGGUUAGAUUUAAUUAGAUGCAGAUUUUAUUAUGUUGGGGCGACAGAAAUAUAAGGUUUAACUGUUUUUUGAAUGUAAUAUAUAUAAUUAGAUUGUGRUCCUUUAAUGGGGGUUAGAAGAAUAAGUUACUUUAGGGAUAACAGCGUAAUUGUCUUUGAGAGUCCAGAUCGACAGGAUUAGUUGCGACCUCGAUGUUGAAUUAAGAUUUUUUUCAGGUGAAGCAGUCUGGGRAAUAGGUCUGUUCGACCUUAAAAUCCUACAUGAUUUGAGUUCAAACC
rnacentral:rRNA from 1 species